rnacentral:rRNA from 1 species
GAUCAUGGCUCAGGAUGAACGCUAGCUACAGGCUUAACACAUGCAAGUCGAGGGGCAGCAUGGUCUUAGCUUGCUAAGGCUGAUGGCGACCGGCGCACGGGUGAGUAACACGUAUCCAACCUGCCGUCUACUCUUGGCCAGCCUUCUGAAAGGAAGAUUAAUCCAGGAUGGGAUCAUGAGUUCACAUGUCAGCAUGAAUUAAAGGUUAUUUUCCGGUAGACGAGUGGGG